UCGGAUUUGAUUUGGGUCACCCAUCUCUCAAAUUCGGAUCGUAUAUAUUCUCUUUCUCAUACCACACCACGUAUUACAUCCACUUUCCUGAAACCCUAAAUCCCAAAAUACCGAUUCUCCUUCGAUUGUUCUUCGCCGGUUCAUCAUUCUCAAUGGCCAGUGGGCGCUAGGGUUACGCCGUGAACCCUUGAUAACGACGGAAUUGCAUGAGACAAUCGAAGCUUUAUUCAUAUCACAAACCCUAUAGCUUAAUUUAUGAGAUUCAUUUUUCAAAGAUCGACGAUCUGUGGAUGCUUUUGGUUUCUGGAACGACUUUUGAAGAGUGGUGAUAUGAUUUGCAUUCUUAGAUUACAAAGAUAAAUUCAUUUCUAUGUUUUUUAUAAAAGCAUUGUGGUCUGAGGUUAGUGUGUGGUUAGAUCUCCACAUGGUGAACUCAUGCUUAUCAGUUAAUGGCGAAAAUAUGGGAUGUACUAACACCUAAGAUAAGAAGAAAGGCAUUGUCUUGUGUUAUUAUGGCGAGGCUAUGGCUGAAAAGAAAUGAUAAAGUAUUUAGGGGUGGAAACUGCACAACAGGGAGGAUGCUUCAAGACAUAAAAGAAACUACAUAUCUGUGGUUAAGGAGCAGACCAAAAAUUGAGAAUAUAACUUUAUUGGGUUGGGUUAUUGGUGGAAUAAAUGUAAUAUGUGACUGAAUUCUUUUAUGUACUACUCUCCCAGUAUCUUGCUGGUAGGGUCCUUUGGUUUUGUUGAAUAAACGGCAACACAUUUGUGUGGA